CCUUAACCCUCUCCUGCCCGAACGCUCGCCUGCGUCCCUACCCCAUCUCCCGGUUUCGCCCAAAACAGUCGCCUUCGUCACCGAAUUCUCGCGAUACAAUCGCAAUUAGACUGGGAAGGCAACGGCGGGAACGCGGCGUACAGAGACUCGAAACUCCAUUUUUCUUCUCCUUCCGCCCUGCUCCUGCCCGAAACCAUGGAGGCAGAUAGAGGAAGCUAUUUCCAUCAUCACUUUGGACAUAUUCUAACAAAUGAAGAGGUUGAUAAGUUAAUGAAAGAGAAAUCGAAGUUUAAAUGGGAAAUGCCUAUAAAGGAGAUGACUAUGUCAAAGUUGGUGGGAAGUGGACAAGAUUUAUUCACGGAGCUUAAUGGGAACCCUAUCUGUGGGAUAAAGCAGAAGCUGCAUAGCCAUUGGAAGAACUUGGAAGGUAUUUUCAAUUCUGAUGAUUCAUGCUCAUCCAAGAGGAGGUUCUUCUUUUCACUCUGCAGUACAUAUCGUGACAUAUUGCAUUGUGACAAGAGACCAUUUUAUUUGAAAAGCAAGGAAGAUGAUUCAAGUAUCAUGGAUGCAUAUAUCAUGCAUGCGUUAAAUCAUGUACAUAUGAUUCGAGAAGAUGUGUUGAAAAAUGAUGCUAAACUCAAUAAAGAUGAAAAUUGUAAAUGGGAAGAGAUUCAUUGUGGUGAUGUCUACCUUGAUCAAGGUUUUACUCGUCCCAAGGUAAUGCUUUUACUGCCACUUGCUAGCAUCGCAUUUCAAGUGGUAAAGAGGCUUGUUCAGCUUUCUCCAUUAUCUCACAAAGGCAAUGUGGCACACAUGGAUCGGUUUUCUGAAGAAUUUGGAACUGGAGAUGCUGAAGGAGAUGAUGAAAACUCUGAUGGAAGUUUAGAAUCUCAAAAGCGUGCAAAACCUGUUGACUUUCAGGCUUUGUUCGGUGGAAACAACAAUGAUCAUUUUAUGAUGGGCAUAAAGUUUACGAAGAGAAGCAUAAAAUUAUACAGUAAUUUUUAUUCUUCAGACAUCAUUGUAGCAUCUCCUCUUGCUUUAAUCACUAAAAUUGGAGAGACAGAGUUUGACAAGGAGAAGAACGUCGACUAUCUGUCAUCAAUAGAGGUAUUGAUCAUUGAUCAUGCUGAUGUUAUCACCAUGCAGAAUUGGUCCCAUGUGAAUACUGUGAUGGAGCAUUUGAACCUUAUGCCAUCUAUGCAACACGGAACUAACGUCAUGCGCAUUAAGCCAUGGUACUUAGAAGGGCAUGCACGAUUUUAUCGACAAACAAUACUACUAAGUUCCUUUCUUACUCCAGAGAUGAAUGCACUAUUCAACAGGCUUUGUGUUAACUAUGAAGGGAAGGUGAAGUUGAUUGGCAAGCAUAAAGGUGUUCUUCACAAGGUUUUGCUUCAAGUACGCCAGGUGUAUGAGAGAUUUGAAGCUUCUUCAAUAAUUGAUACUGAUAAUGCUCGGCUCGAAUAUUUUUCUAAGAAGGUCUUCCCUAAGCUGAAGGAUUCACUAGAGGGUGGCACUUUGGUAUUUAUUAGUUCUUACUUUGAAUUUGUGCGGAUACGAAACUUCUUAAAAUCUCAGAAUGCUUCCUUUUGUUUGCUUGGCGAGUACACCAAACAAAGUGAUGUGUCCCGCUCACGCCUUUGGUUUUUUGAAGGAAAGCGAAAGAUCAUGCUUUACACUGAAAGAGCUCAUUUUUACCACAGAUAUAAGAUUCGUGGAAUAACGAAUUUGAUUAUCUAUUCUCUUCCAGAAAGGAAAGAGUUUUAUCCUGAGAUCCUAAAUAUGCUUGAAGGAUCAAAAAAUAUGUCAUGCAGUGUGCUUUUUUCACGUUUUGAUCUUUUCAGGCUCGAAAGAAUUGUUGGAACUUCUGCUGCUAAGAGGAUGAGCUCAUCUGACAAAGCCACUUUUGUGUUUUGCUAAUGAGAUUCGGACAAUCAAGAUUUCAAAGUAAUUGUUGAAGAUGGUUGUGAGUUUGGAGAUUUUUCUUAUAGAUGUCUCACAUUCUGGUGUGGUCUGCUAAAGUUGUACGUGUCACCUGGCGCAAAUAUUUGUGAAGUCUCGAAGCGCUCCAUUGCAUGACAUGAGGGACGGAGGGGGAGAAGAAACUACAGAUGUGGAUGAAAACAAUGGUGAGACUGAAAACAACAGUAUAUUAUGCUAUACCAAGCAGAAAAGCAUAUUAAAAUGCUCAUUUUCUUUUCUCAAAUAAUCUUUUGACAGGGUGGAUUUCAUUGUAAUUUAUAA